GACGAACGCUGGCGGUGUGCUUCACACAUGCAAGUCGAACGAGGUAGCAAUACCUAGUGGCGGACGGGUGAGUAACGCGUGGGAAUCUGCCUUUAGAUGGGGGAUAACGGGUCGAAAGACUCGCUAAUACCGCAUAUGACGAAAGUUGAAAGGAGUAAUCCGUCUAAAGAUGAGCCCGCGUCCGAUUAGCUAGUUGGUAGAGUAAAAGCCUACCAAGGCGACGAUCCGGUAGCUGGUCUGAGAGGAUGAUCAGCCACAAUGGGACUAGAGACACGGCCCAUACUCCUACGGGAGGCAGCAGUGGGAAUUUUACGCAAUGGCGAAAGCCUGACGUAGCGACACCGCGUGAGCGAAGAAGCCCCUUGGGGUGUAAAGCUCUGUCAGCUGGAACGAAAAAAUGACGGUACCAGCAGAGGAAGCAUCGGCUAACUACGUGCCAGCAGCCGCGGUAAU
rnacentral:rRNA from 1 species